ensembl:lncRNA
AGAGGCUGCAUUCUGGUUAUGGCCUUGUGGUCUUAGUUAAAAUGGGAGCUGCUCUGAACUGGGGACUCUUCUGGGGUUGUUUUUCUUGUUCUUCUUCUUACAGGAAAUCUCGUGUGUCUACAAAAUGAAAUCCUCUCACUUGACGAGGUCACAGGGUGCUGGCCCACAGCCAGGCACGGGGUUCCUCCACUGCUCUGCCUGUUCCUCCCUGUGAGCCCAUCGCUUCCCCCCGGACACUCCUCCUGCAUGAAUUUCUGCGUGCUGCGAGGAGAGGCCUGGAUCUGCUCCUCUCAGUGUCCAGUUUGUGCUACGCUUUGAGAGGGCCAGUAUCGUCUUAAGACCUGCUGCAGCCUCCGAAUAUAAACCCCCCUUUGUUGGGGAGAGGUUGACUUGACUGAGCCGCAUGAUCAGAGUCAGGUGACAAAAUUGGGCAUGAAAGCAGAGGAGAAUGAGCAGUUGGGUGAGGGCAUGAGCUGCUGAUCUUGCCUUUUGACAAGCUGCGUUACUGCUCAGGGAAAAAUGAGUGCCUGGCCCUCUCCUCUGCUUUGGAGCUUGACCACGGCGUGUUUAACAGGUAUUGCUUUAGGCCAGACAAUCAGCACUGAGGUUUCUAUUGCAUCAACACCAGUGCCUCCCAGUACACCCAGCACUGAGGUCCCUAUUGCAUCAAGCCCAGCAUCUCCCAGUGCAAGCACCACUGCAGCCUCUGCUCCCCCAGCUGCCACUGCUGGAUUGGCAUCAACCGCUGCAAACCUUGUAUCGUCCACAGCAGCUCCAUCUGCUGAUCCAAGCACCAUAACCCCUGCUCAGGCUCUGCCCACCACCACAGAUGUGACCAUCCUCAGCUCUGGCAGCACAGCUGCCUCUCGAGUACCUACAGGACCAGUGGGUGCAUCUGCUGGUGCCUCAACGUCCCCUCCAGGAGUGGCCACGUCUCCCGGGGUCCCGUCGGCAGCUCCGUCCCUCACCACCCCUCAGCCCUCCAACUGCAGCAGAGUGAACGUGACAGCCUGUUCCUCCUGCCCCCCAGGGACAUUCCCCAACGAAGGCACCUUGAGCUGCUCAUGCUGUGCAGGGGGCUCUUGCACAGACCCCAGUGCCUGCAGCUCCUGCCCACCAGGCCACUACCAGCCCCAAAGUGGGCAAUCAUCCUGCCUGCCCUGCCCACAGGGGUCUUACACCAGCUUCCCAAGGAGCACCAUGUGCCUUCCCUGCCCUCCUGGCCAUUUUGCUGAUGAGUCUGGGGCUGCAGCCUGCAGAGCAUGUGAGCAAGGUUAUUUUAGCUCCAAGCAAAACUCAUCUUUUUGUCUUCCUUGCCUGCCGGGAUCAUUUUGCAACACCACCAGCUGCACGGCCUGUCUGCCUUGUCCUGGGGGGCAAGAGGCUCCUCGGGAGGCGUCGGAGGACUGUGUGCCCUGCCAGCCAGGUACAUUCAAAGGUCCAAAUGACAGCAGGUGCAAGGUCUGCAGGACAGGAGAGUACCAAUUACAGCGGGGCAAGGAGAGCUGUGACCUGUGCCCAGAGAAUCAUUACUGCCCUAGCCCAGAUGUGAACCCGGUCAAGUGCCCUCCUGAUGCCUUCUGCCCCCGGGGCAGCACAGAGCCCACCUACUGCAUGGAGCUCUUCCUAUACAAGGCAGGGGACUCCUGCCAGCUGACCCCUGUGAUGAUUGUUCUCCUGGCCACCUUCUCUGCAGGUGGAAUCUUUGUUAUCUUUCUAAUAAUUCUGAGAAGGCGGCAAGACUCUGGCAGGAAAUCACUGAAGUCUCUGUUGCUGCCCCGAGGCUCAGGACGACACUCGACUUAUGGGGGCAUGGAGCACACAGAACCAGUCUAUGCUGGAUGGUAGCACAGGACAGGCCACCAGCAGGCACCUGCCUCUCCUUUGCCUGGGGCAAAACAGAUGUGUGUGUGUGCAUGGGCAAGGUGUUUAACCACAAGCAACUUAUUUCUGUAUAGGCAAAAUAAGUGCUGAGAAAUAAAACUCAGUUUUUGAGUUGUGGCUGCUUGUGC